rnacentral:rRNA from 1 species
CCUACGGGUGGCUGCAGUGAGGAAUAUUGGUCAAUGGGCGCGAGCCUGAACCAGCCAAGUAGCGUGAAGGAUGACUGCCCUACGGGUUGUAAACUUCUUUUAUAAAGGAAUAAAGUGAGGCAUGUGCGCCUUUUUGUAUGUACUUUAUGAAUAAGGAUCGGCUAACCCCGCGCCAGCAGCCGCGGUAAUACGGAGGCCCCGAGCGUUAUUCGGAUUUAUUGGGUUUAAAGGGCGCGUAGAUGGGUUGUUAAGUCAGUUGUGAAAGUUUGCGGCUCAACCGUAAAAUUGCAAUUGAUACUGGCAGCCUUGAGUACAGUUGAGGUAGGCGGAAUUCGUGGUGUAGCGGUGAAAUGCUUAGAUAUCACGAAGAACUCCGAUUGCGAAGGCAGCUUACUAAACUGCAACUGACAUUGAUGCUCGAAAGUGUGGGUAUCAAACAGGAUUAGAUACCCGUGUAGUC